CAACUACUCCCUCCUUCCGAAAAUACUUGUCGAAGGAAUGGAUGUAUCUAGACAUAUUUUAGUUUUAGAUACAUCCAUUUUUAUUCAUUUCUCCGACAAGUAUUUUAGGACGGAGGGAGUACUAU
rnacentral:pre_miRNA from 1 species